rnacentral:rRNA from 1 species
GACGAACGCUGGCGGCGUGCCCAACACAUGCAAGUCGAGCGAUGAAGUUUCUUUCGGGAAAUGGAUUAGCGGCGGACGGGUGAGGAACACGUGGGUAACCUGCCUCAUAGAGGCGAAUAGACUCCCGAAAGGGAGAUUAAUACCGCAUAAUAUUACAGCUUCGCCUGAAACAGCACUCAAAGAAGUAAUCCGCUAUGAGCUGGACCCGCGGCGCAUUGGCUAGUUGGUGAGUGAACGGGGCACCAAGGCGACGAUGCGUAGCCGACCUGAGAGGGUGAUCGGCCACAUUGGGACGGAGACACGGCCCAGACUCCUACGGGAGGCAGCAGUUGGGAAUAUUGCACAAUGUGGGAAACCCUGAUGCAGCAACGCCGCGUGAGUGAUGACGGUCUUCGGAUUGUAAAGCUCUGUCUUUGGGGACGAUAAUGACGGUACCCAAGGAGGAAGCCACGGCUAACUACGCGCCAGCCGCCGCCGUAAAAC